rnacentral:rRNA from 1 species
GGCGGACGGGUGAGGAAUACAUCGGAAUCUACUCUGUCGUGGGGGAGUAACGUAGGGAAACUUACGCUAAUACCGCAUACGACCUACGGGUGAAAGCAGGGGAUCUUCGGACCUUGCGCGAUUGAAUGAGCCGAUGUCGGAUUAGCUAGUUGGCGGGGUAAAGGCCCACCAGGCGACGAUCCGUAGCUGGUCUGAGAGGAUGAUCAGCCACACUGGAACUGAGACACGGUCCAGACUCCUACGGGAGGCAGCAGCC